GCACAACCGAACGGGAGCUCGAAAGGGCUGAGAGGAAGUCGCGGACUUCGACCGAGAACUUGACGCGGGUAAUGCCGCCGUAAGGAAACGAGUUGUUGAUGUCG
rnacentral:ncRNA from 1 species